AUUGAACGCUGGCGGAAUGCUUUACACAUGCAAGUCGAACGGUAGAGGGGGCAACCCCUCGAGAGUGGCGAACGGGUGAGUAAUAUAUCGGAACGUGCCCAGUCGUGGGGGGUAACGCAGCGAAAGUUACGCUAAUACCGCAUACGAUCUAAGGAUGAAAGCGGGGGAUCGCAAGACCUCGCGCGAUUGGAGCGGCCGAUAUCAGAUUAGGUAGUUGGUGGGGUAAAGGCUCACCAAGCCAACGAUCUGUAGCUGGUCUGAGAGGACGACCAGCCACACUGGAACUGAGACACGGUCCAGACUCCUACGGGAGGCAGCAGUGGGGAAUUUUGGACAAUGGGCGAAAGCCUGAUUCAGCCAUUCCGCGUGCAGGAUGAAGGCCCUCGGGUUGUAAACUGCUUUUGUACAGAACGAAAAGGUUUCUACUAAUACUAGGAGCUCAUGACGGUACUGUAAGAAUAAGCACCGGCUAACUACGUGCCAGCCGCCGCGGUAA
rnacentral:rRNA from 1 species